rnacentral:rRNA from 1 species
UAAGGAAUAUUGGUCAAUGGACGCAAGUCUGAACCAGCCAUGCCGCGUGAAGGAUUAAGGCCCUCUGGGUUGUAAACUUCUUUUCUAAGAGGCCUGACGGUACCAGAUGAAUAAGCACCGGCUAACUCCGUGCCAGCAGCCGCGGUAAUACGGAGGGUGCAAGCGUUAUCCGGAUUCACUGGGUUUAAAGGGUGCGUAGGUGGGUAUGUAAGUCAGUGGUGAAAUCCCCGAGCUUAACUCGGGAACUGCCAUUGAUACUAUAUAUCUUGAAUACCGUAGAGGUAAGCGGAAUAUGUCAUGUAGCGGUGAAAUGCUUAGAUAUGACAUGGAACACCAAUUGCGAAGGCAGCUUACUAUGCGGUGAUUGACACUGAGGCACGAAAGCGUGGGUAGCAAACA